CACUCUCAUUUCAAAACAUUUCAAAAUGCCCGCUUCCCUGCUCCUCUCUCUCUCCGGCGAUUCCAGAUCUGGAUCUAGGGUUUUUCUCCAUCACGUUUCUACUACUCCAAUUCCUCAUGGAAAUCAUUGGAAUCAAACUCAAGUCUAGGUUUUGAACUUCACGGAGAGUUGAAGAUGAUGCAAGCUGUUGUUUUAAUUGGUGGUGGUUAGCAACGAUAGAGAUGGUGGUGGUCUGCGGCUUGUGGUGGUAAUGGUUAGCGUCAACAGAUUCUGGUGACCCAACCUAGGGUUUAGAGUUUCGACCAGAUUCUGGUAGCCCUAUCUAGGGUUCUGACCAUAACCCUAAUCCGGUGAAAGUUGUAGAUCUGGUUGACUAUUUGCAAUUUCAAUCGCAAAAGCCAACAAGUUAGGAACUGUUAUUGGGACUACCUAUUCUUGUGUUGGUGUCGAUAAGAACGGUCACGUUGAAAUCAUAGCCAACGACCAAGGGAAUCGUAUCACACCAUCAUGGGUGGCUUUCACCGAUUCCGAGAGGUUAAUUGGUGAGGCAACAAAGAAUCAAGCGGCUGUAAACGCCGAACGAACUAUCUUUGAUGUUAAGAGACUUAUAGGGAGAAAGUAUGACCUUAUCAAACAUUUUUUCACAGAUUCUCGCUUCCGAUAUUUUGGCCGAGAUUUUAAACCGAGAUUCUGGCCAACCUCCGAUAACCGAUAUAUCGGUGAUAUAGCGCCGAUAUUGACUGCAUAGGUUGCCAGUAUCUUGACAAUUGAUAAUGGUGUUUUUGAGGUUCUUGCCACAAAUGGAGAGACCCAUCUUGGAGGUGAGGACUUUGACCAAAGAAUUAUGGAAUACUUCAUCAAAUUGAUCAAGAAGAAGCACAGAAAAGACAUUAGCAAGGACCACAGAGCUCUUGGAAAGCUAAGAAGGGAAGCUGAGCGGGCCAAGAGAGCCUUGAGGAGCCAGCACCAGGUCUGUGUUGAGACCGAGUCACUCUUUGACGGAUUUCUCCGAGCCAUUGACCAGAGCUCGAUUCGAAGAGCUGAACAAUGACUUGUUCAGAAAGACAAUGGCAAUUUCUACAGUUGAAAAUGUAUGAUGGUGCUGAUAUGGACGUCUUCCAGAACUAACAAAUUUUUAAGAGUUGCAACUUUCCUCGACCAAAGUGACAUAUCAUGGGGUUGUGUUUCUACAACUUUAGUGAAGCAGAAACUAGAGCUAAAAGCCAAAAGCAUGGAAGAAGAGAUUUCCAGAUUGCAAAAGAGUUUAAGGUGCUGUUUGUUUUUUCAGAUGUAAAAUGUCUGUAGUCUGCGAACCACAUCUGCAGGCAUCUGCAAGAGAAGAUGUGGCCCAAAUAUCUGCAGUCUGCAAGAAGAAGAGGGUUUGUUUUUUUUCUUCAAAAACAACUUCAACCACACAACACACACAACCUCCAUCUCCGUUGGUCAGCCCACCCUCAUCGACACCAACCUCCAUCUCCGUUCAAAACCCAUUCAGUGUGGUCAUGCUCAGUUCAAACAAAAUUAUUGUAGCAAAUCAAUUCCAAUUCAAGUGUUUGACCAAUAUUCAUAUGAUGAAGCUCUACCUUAUUCUUGGUUAAUUCAAACCAAUUUUCUUGAAUUAGGACUGUUUAGUAUGGUAACAGUGAAGUAGGGUUCAAAUCGGUAACAUGUUUUAACUCAAGUUUAAGGAAGAUGAAAGGAUUGGCCAAUCGAGGAUGUUGAGAUACGGCACCAAUUUGUUGUCACAGGAGUAAGGGCUACGGGUGUCUCGGAACAUUGGUAGAGAGAAAGAAAGAAGAGGCAGAGACAUACCUGAUGGCGGCGACGUAGAAAGGUGCUGCAGUGGUGACAGGCGGCGGUUGAUGAUGAUGUCCGGCGGUCGUUCAGAGUGCGAAGGAUGGAGGUGAGCGGUUCAGGUUAGAGGGCGGUGGUCGACGGCCGGUUCCGGUGCGGAUGAGAAUGAACCGGCGGUGGUUGUGAAAACCGGCGACUGAGAGGGGUGUGGUUGACCGGUGGCGAAGACGGCUGAAGAUGAAGGCCGGCGACGGGCGGCGAUUCAGAACGGAGAUGGAGGUUGGUGUCGAUGAGGGUGGGCUGACCAAGGGAUGAAAUUGGUGGUGGCAGGGGAGAAGAGGAAGAAGAAGGGUGUGUGAAGAUCUGAUUUGUUUGUGAAGCUAUUAUCCAUAGCUUUUUUUUUAAGCUAUUAAAAGCCAUUUUAAGGUCUUCUUUUUUUUUUUUAAACAAACAGUCUUCAAGGGCUUAUGUCUGCCCGCCCGCAGACAUAAGCUCUUUGUAGACGAUAUAAGCAAAAACAAACACAACCUAAAUGAGAGAAAUCUGUAGCUUCACGCAUCAUCAUCUGAUGCUGCAAAGGUUUACAUUCUUCUUUCAUUAACAUUUUUAUAAAAACAUACUGCAUAGUGUGAUUCUUGCAUUGCAUCUAAGUUGCUUGAUUUGAUCAUGUUUAGUUUAAAGAUUUAUACAAAUUUAUGAUAUCGAAACAA